AAAAUGAACCAAUCCUGAAAUAUCAUUUGUAGUUGGCAGCUGCAUUGAGCUCUUUGGGGAAGUGGAGAAUGGACCUGGACUGUUGGAAGAACGGAACAGUGGGCUACACUCUUAACAAAUGUGAUUCAUGCAUAUGCUGUCCUCUUUUUGAAUAGAUCCCAUGAGGAGAGUCACUGUAGGACCACUGAAGAUCAAAGGACCAGAACAUCUCUCUGGCGGAGACUGAGAUUGCUGAGACUGUUCAGCCUGGAGAAAGAAAAACUGAGAGCGGAUCUUAUCAAUGUCUAUCAGUCCUGGAAGGAAUGGUACAGAAAAGAUGGAGCCAGGUUCUGUGCAGUGGUACCCAGUGUGAGGACGAGAGGCAAUGAGUACAAAUCAGAACACAGGAUGUCCCCUCUGAACACCAGAAAGCUGUGCAAUGACAGAGCACUGUUACAGGCUGCCCAGAGGCUGUGGGGUCUCCUCCUUGGAGCUUUCCAAAAGCCUCCUGGACAUGGUAUUGGAUGUCCCUGCUGGAGCAGGGAUUGGGCCAGAUGGACACAGAGGUCUGAUCCUUGUGAAGGAUACACCCACCAUUAACAAGUGACAAGAAUGAUCCAUUAGUGCUCAGACUGGCGUGAUCCAACAGGGCAAGAGAAUAAUUGAUGGUAGCUGAGCUGGGCUAUGUCAGGACCUGUGCAAGUCAUCUGGAUAUGGAAAGUACAUUAAUGCAACCAAGUGGCUGUUUAUGCCACUACCACAGAACCCAAGACCAUGUGGUAUGCUGUAUACUUUGUGUGUUCUUCUGUGAAUGAACUGCACAGAAAUUAAACAGUCCCUUUAAUCAGUGUAAAUGAGAUUUUCUAAUAGACUUUCAGUAUGAAAUACAUUGUUUUUCUUACAAACCAUCUGGAACACAACAGCACUUUUUGCAGCUUCCCCUACUGGUUUCUUUGAGAAAGAAAUGUGUUCUGCCACAAACACAUAACUUACUUUAAUUAAAAUAAAGCCAGCUGAGACUGGUGACAUCUCUUUCAAUACUGGAUAUGAUAUGCAAAGAUAUUUGUUUGCAAUAGGAGUUACUUGUUAGUACUUCUGGUGAAUCAGAAACCAGAAUUCAGGCUUUAUUCUCACUCAGCAAUAGAGGGC
rnacentral:lncRNA from 1 species